AUAUCAAUAAGCGGAGGAAAAGAAACCAACAGGGAUUGCCUCAGUAACGGCGAGUGAAGCGGCAAAAGCUCAAAUUUGAAAUCCCCCCGGGGAGUUGUAAUUUGAAGAUUGCGUCUUGGAGGCGACCGUGUCUAUGUUCCUUGGAACAGGACGUCACAGAGGGUGAGAAUCCCGUGCGGCACGGCCCCCGGCUCCUUAUAAGGCGCUCUCGACGAGUCGAGUUGUUUGGGAAUGCAGCUCAAAGUGGGUGGUAAAUUCCAUCUAAAGCUAAAUACAGGCGAGAGACCGAUAGCGAACAAGUACAGUGAUGGAAAGAUGAAAAGCACUUUGAAAAGAGAGUGAAACAGCACGUGAAAUUGUUGAAAGGGAAGGGCAUGCCGUCAGAUUGUCAGUGUGGGUAAGAAGCGGGGUACAAAGACUGUGGAACGUGGCCCUCGGGUGUUAUAGCCGCAGUUCAUGCCCCGUCUCUUUCCGAGGCCUGCUUUGAGGACACCGACGUAAUGACGGUACGCCGC
rnacentral:rRNA from 1 species